GACGGAGGAUGCAAGCGUUAUCCGGAAUUAUUGGGCGUAAAGCGUCCGCAGGUGGCUGUUCAAGUCUGCUGUCAAAGCGCAGAGCUUAACUCUGUACAGGCGGUGGAAACUGAAGAGCUAGAGUAUGGUAGGGGUAGAGGGAAUUCCCGGUGUAGCGGUGAAAUGCGUAGAUAUCUGGAGGAACACCGGUGGCGAAGGCGGCAUCCUGGACCGGCAUUGACGCUGAGGAGCGAAAGCCAGGGGAGCAAACGGG
rnacentral:rRNA from 1 species